UACGAAGGGAGCAAGCGUUGCUCGGAAUAAUUGGGCGUAAAGGGUGCGUAGGCGGCUCCUUAAGUAGAAUGUUAAAAACCUGGACUCAAUCUAGGGAAUGCGUUCUAUACUGAGGAGCUCGAGUGUGGGAGAGGAAACAGGAAUUCCUCAUGUAGAGGUGAAAUUCGUAGAUAUGAGGAGGAACACCAGAGGCGAAGGCGAGUUUCUGGAACACAACUGACGCUAAGGCACGAAAGCGUGGGGAGCAAACAGG
rnacentral:rRNA from 1 species